UAUUGGGUCAAAGGUCAAUUCUUGAGUUUCUCAAGAAUGAGUUUUUGCACAGUGUUCUCUAUGAAAAUCCCCAUUAGGAAAAGAAUGUGCCUUUAGUACCGGUUUACGAGCGUUUCCACUUCUUGUGCUGCUCAAGUGGAGGACUCUUCUUCUGACGAAGCUCGGCCCCGGAGAGGAGUUACAGUGAGCUGCAACAAAGAAUGCAGAUGCUUGCAGCCUCGGGCAGCAUGGUGAAAGCUAUUGCGAUUUUAAAUUUAAUGAAAUAUGUUCCCGGAAAGCCGACUGUGUACGACUACAAUUCAAUGAUUUAUUGUUAUUUCAACUCAGGGUAUGUUAAGUUUGAUGAGUUGUUUGAGGUAUACAUUGCGAUGAAAAGAUUUGGACCUAACCCAAAUGCAUCGACUUUUAAUACGCUUUUGAGUGGGUUAAUUUUGGUUGGGAGAUUGAAAGAUGGGAUUUUGAUUGCACAAGGAAUGAUGGAGAGUGGGUUUUUGCCUUCAUAUAAUGUUUUAUCAAAAUUCUUUAAGAAAUUUUUGAAUCUAGGAAGUGUAGUGGAAUCUCUUAUAGUACUUGAAAUCAUGUUGGGGCUGGAUUAUAUUCCUAGAAAACGUGAUAUGAUUGCCUUGAUUCAUGGUCUUUGUAAAGGCGGAAUGAUUCAACAGGCAUAUUUUGUGUUAUUGGCACUUUAGGGGAAGGGAUGCUUUUGCAGUGCACAUUUAUAUAAUCCCAUAUUGUGGCUUUGUGUAAGUGUAAGGACAAUAAAAUUGCUGUAGCAUUUCUUGGUUGGUUAAAAAAGAAGGUUUUAUAUGUAAUGUUUACUUGUAUACUGCACUUAUUUAUGGUUUCAGUAAAGACGGGUUGUGGGACAUAGCUUUUCAUUGUCUCUAAGAAAUGGAAAAUGAAGGUUGUAACCUAGUGUGAUAACUUACACAAUACUUGUUAAGUUUCUCUGUGAUGAUGGAAAUGUUGAUGAUGCACUAGGCCUUUUGGAAAAGAUGGAUGAGAAAGGAUGUGAUCCCGACUUGGUUACAUACAAUAUAAUCCUCUGUGAACUUUGCCAUCAAGGUAGGACAACUGAAAUUGAUUGUCUGUUCCACGUUAUUGAUAGAGGGGGUUUGUCACCUGAUAUGUAUACCCAUUCGGCUUUGGCUGGAGGCAUGUUGAAAAGGGGAAAAAUAGAAAUUGCAAAUAAGCUAUGCUUGAUAUCAUUUAAAGAGGUUGCUCUCUAGACGCUGUAGUUUACAAUAUAUACUGGCAUUCUCUGGCUUGUGAUGGUAAAUCUAGAGAAGCUUUGUCUAUGAUACAAAGUAUGAGAGAGAAGGGUUUUAGACCAACCAAUAUAACAUACAACAUGAUUCUGAAAGGAUUAUGUAACGAAAUAAAAAUUGAUGAAGUUCUACAGUUCUUUGACUGCUUCGAUUGGGCCACAGGAGGGCCUGACAUGAUUUCCAUCAAUAAAAUUUUGUCCACUGCGUGUAAAGAGGGAAAUUCUUCUAUGAUAAGGAGGAUUUUGUACCGGAUGGAGUAUGAAGGAAUUAAGCUUGAUGUUAUGAGCUCAUCAUCUCUUAUUCAGUAUUUCUGUAAAAUUGGGGAAAUCCCAGAAUGCUUUAAGCUUUUGGAUUCCAUGGGUCGUCAACCUAAUACUAUGACCUUAAACGCUCUCAUGAGUUGCCUUUGCAAACAUCGAUUGCUUGGUGUUGCAGGAAAAAUGUUCAGCUAUUUAAAAAGUAUUGGAAUUUCACCUAAUACAACUACAUAUGAUAUUUUAAUGCGUGCUUCCAUAUGAGAAGGCAACGAUUUGCUGAUAAUUAAGCUCUUAAAAGACAUGUAUGGCCAGAAAUUGAAGCCAGAUGUUGACACCUGUGGUUGCUUCAUUUGUAGCUUUUGUAAAGAAGGCAAGAUAUUACCUGCUCUCCAGCUUCGAGACCAAUUAUUUGCCAAUGGAAUUACUCUAACAUUGUGAUUUAUGAUACCAUAUUGGAGGCCAUGUUUAGGAGAGGAAAUUUUUGGGAAAUCGUCUCAUUAUUGAAAAUGAUGGCAAUGGAUGGCUGUGAACCAAAUGCAUAUUCUUUGGAUAUAAUGGGACGAGCUAUGAGAAAAGGUUGGAUGAAAGGAUUCCCUAGAGCAACAAAAGUUUUAAAGACCGUCAUGGGUGGUAAUUGGUAAUGUGAGAAUGAAAAAUAUCACAGAGAUUCAUGGAUAUUGAUGAAGAAAAUGGACCUUAUUACAAUUGCUUCAUUGUGAAACUUCCAGGAGCUCUCGCUGAGAUUAUGAUUUGUCUGGAAACUGAGCUCAUUGCAGUCUGCAACAGCCUGUUUUGUAGGACCUACUCGCGAAGAGUUAAAGUAAUGUUAUUGAAGAACCUCUGGACACGCUUUUGCUUGUGCUGACUUUCCUUCAGGUUCAGAAGGAAUUGAGAUAUUAUCCUACCUACUUUCACUGGAAUUUGGGUAAUAAGCUGCCCGAGAAUGAACAAAACAAUCUUGGCAUGUAUCAGCAUUUCCCAGCGUAUGCAUGAAAAGAAAAGUCACUAAAAGGAUCAAGAAAGAUCGAAGGAAAGUCAUUAGCAAUGGAAGCAGAAACAAGAAGUAAAACUGAAGUUGUUAAAGAGUUAGGUGAGUUUGCACCUAAGGAUGCAGCCAGCGUUCUACUCUAGGGGGGAACCAUUCAACCAUCUGCAUGUUGACAUCUAUAUCUAUCCAUCAUCCAAAUAGGAGUUUCAAAAUUGGAGGGCUGUUUUUCCUUAAACCCCCCACCCCCACCUUCUUUUGUGGGAUUUUUUUUUUUUUUUUUUUUUAAGUGGGGGUGUGGGGGUCGCUGAGGUACCCUGCUCUUUAAUUCAGAUCAACUUAUUUGGCCCCUGUUUUUUGAAAUGAAAAUGGGUGGAAUAGGUUUAUUUUUUUCAUUUUUUUUUGAAAAAUGAAUGGUAAGAAGG